GGGAAUGAGUUCCCUAGCUCAACUAGGUGCUGAGUUCAGAGUUGUGGGCCCAAGACUGUGGUUCUCCAUCUUGUCUGAAGUUAGACAGGCACUCUCCUUGGUGAACUUCAGGGGCACAACAAAUACUUUCUUAUUCCAAGCAGGCAUUUUAAGGUAGCGUUCAGGUUUCUGUUUGUGUUUAUGGUGAAUUUUUAUUGCAUUAUUCUCUAUGGGUUAUUUUUCUUAUGUGCCCCACUUAGAAAGACUAAUGAUUAAGUGGUAUAUAAUUGCCUUAAAUAGGCAAAUAAAAUGAAUAAGUUGUUGCAACGUCAACAGCCAGGUUAAGCCAUAGCAAGGGUUGAAAAGAAGUAUAAUUGGAGGUUGUUCUGCCCCAAUAUUAUCUCUGUAUCUCUGGAGACUUGCUAGAGUCCAAGCUCAGCCCACCUGUUGAAGCUGGCUUUGGAGGGAUCAGCGUUAAUUCAACUUCACAUUAUAUUUUAAUACAUGUGGAAUCUUCUUCUGCUCCCUGCUCCCUAGAGGGGUUGUGUUUUGCCUCAUUCCACAUCGACGGCAUGAAUGAGGCUUUUGCAAUCCUUAAUUCACCCUCCACGAGAGCUGGGUCAACAGAGGAUCACAUUGAGUCCCAGAGAUCAACUCAGGGAGGUCUUCAAUGUACCAACAAUAGAAAACAAGAUUAGAUUCCACAGGUGCUAAUUGGAAUUUAAGAAAAUGUCAUUCAAAAGAUGAAAUGGAGGGACGAAAAGAAAGAAGUGGGGAGACCAGUUGCUGCUGUAUUGCUGGGGAUGUGCAUAAGAACAUGAGAAGAGCACUGCAUCCUGAUUAUUAUUAUUAUUAUUAUUAUUAUUAUUAAUUAUACCCAGCCCAUCUGGCUGGGUUUCCCCAGCCACUCUGGGUGGCUCCCAACAGAAUAUUAAAAACACAAUAAAACAUCAAACAUUAACAACUUUCCUAAACAGGGCUGCCUUCAAAUGUCUUCUAAAAGUCAGGUACUUGUUUAUUUCCUUGACAUCUGAUGGGAUGGCGUUCCACAGGGCAGGCGCCACUACUGAGAAGGCCCUCUGCCUGGUUCCCUGUAGCUUCACUUCUCACAGUGAGGGAACUGCCAGAAGACCCUCAGAGCUGGACCUCAGUGUCCGGGCUGAACGAUGGGGGUGGAGACGCUCCUUCAGGUAUACUGGGCCGAGGCCAUUUAGGGCUUUAAAGGUCAGCACCAACACUCUGAAUUGUGCUCGAAAACGUGCUGGGAGCCAAUGCAGGUCUUUCAGGACCGGUGUUAUAUGGUCUCACAGUGGCCAAGCAGAUGCCUGUGAGAAGCCCACAACCAGGAAUGGAGAGCAACAGCACUUGCAAUUCCCAGCAACUGGAAUUCAGAGGCAUAUCGGAGGCAACAGUGGAGGCAGAGAGAGCAAAAUCAUCCUAACCUUAAAUAGCCUUGUUUUCUGUGAAUUUGUCUAACCUCUUUUAAAUCCAUCCAAGAUGGUGGCCAUCACUAUCUCUUGAGGGAGUGAAUGCCAUGGUUUAUGCAUUACCUGAAGAAAUGCUUUUUGUCAUGAACCUUCCAACAUCCAGCUUCCUUGGCUGCUCCACGUUCUGGUAUUAUGAUGGAGGAAAACGUCUCUCUAUCCUCUUUGCCCGCCCUGCGCGUAACCUUAUAUACCUCUGCCAAGUCACCUCUUACGCCACUUUUCUCUAAACGAAAAAGCCCCCAGUGUUGCGACCUUUUCCUCACCCCAGUGCACCCUUGAUGGUUUUGGCUGCCCCUUUCUGAACAUUUCCCAGUUCUACCAUACCCCUUUUGAGGUGAGGAGAUCAAGUGUGUAUUGGCAGGUAUGGACCUGAUCAACAAUCUGUCUGGAGUGGGAUGUAUAUAACAUAUUUUUUUUAAUAAACUGGAUUCAGAUUUCUUUUCUAUAAUUCAAGAGAAAUGCCUCUCACCGAUUUAAGAGAGUUGCAUUGCAAAAUUCAGCAAGCCAAACAACAAGAACAAAAUCUGCUAUGAAUGACAGCAGUUAAAAUCUACGCUGUGCCAAAGCCCUGUCCUUCAACAUCUCAAUAAGUUUUAUUCCCCUUUGAAAGCAGGUUCUAUUUUUCUGUCUCUUUCUCAGAACCCUGUAUAAUUUAUCAUUUUAUAAAAGAUGCACGGUUGACCUCACCUUAUUCUUGCAAGGUGGCUAUUGCUUCCCAUGUAUGUCUGAAUCCACAUGCAUAUCUACCCCCCGUGAGAAACCCAACAUGCACUUUUGAGAUGAAAUAAAAACUUUGCACACAAAACAUAUAUCAAAUGCAUGUAUACCAUUAGCCCUUAUCCCCAGUAAAGAACUGUUCACAGCAAGUACUAACAAAAGACUGGUUUAUUAAAUGGGGAAAAUGAAAGUAUGUUGUUUGGACAGAAAGUUACAAGGUAAUUGUAAGUAGUCAGCAAAUAAUCCUUAAUACUGUUUUCAGUUGGAGGGGGAUAGCCCAAAGGUGUCAAAAGGAAAAGAGAUGGAGAGAAUUCCCUGUGCGUAAGAAAGCAGGUAUGUUUCUGAAGAUGUGCAUUGAGGCCCAGCGUGUGGCUCUGGGACUGGAAUGCAUAUUGGGGCCUCUGAUCCACAACCAGAGGCGAAACCAAAGCAAAAUCGAAGGACUCCACAAAGACUGACUCUGUGAUUUGAGCCCCAAAGGAGCUGUUGACCAACUUGGGCUGAGGACUUCGUGAAAUUCCAAGACAAAGAGCUAUGCAGGCAACCGCACGGUGUGGGUUUGUGUUCAGGAGACUGUUUAUUGAUUUUCUGUACAGAUCCUUCUUGCAAGUUUUGUCAUUGUUCUUUUGAAAUGCUGUUGGUUGGUGAUUUUUGCAUGUUUGUGGUGAUGGGAACUGUUUGGUUUUCAGGAAUUGUUCUGAUAACUCUGUGUGUGUGUGUGUGUGUGUGUGGUGUGUGUGGUAUGUUUGUGUGUAUAUACAACUGUGUAGGACAGCAAGCGGCGAGAAUGUGUGUUUUUGAAAGCUGUUUGUGCUACAGUGGCCCAAAGGGAAGAAUGAGAAAGGCCUUCAGGCAAAGUAGCUCUGGCAGUGAGUGUAGUAUCCUGCCUUAAACAUGUCAGAACCCCCUUAACUUAGGCAUGCCAAGUGUUGAAACUUGUGGGUACCAAAUUGUGACUGGGUUUCUGCAUAAAGAAAAAGAGGAAAUACUGAAGAGAUCAUGAUGUUACGAACUGCACUGAGACCUACGGGUAUAGGGUGGUAUACAAAUUUAAUUAAUUAAUAAUAAUAAUAAUCUUACUUAAAAGGAAUAAGCUGUUACUGCACAGGUGUUGGGGUAAAAGUGCACCUAUGCUUAGCUCUCUGUUCUUGAUUAUGUGUGUUUUAAUGUCUUGGUUAACUUGUGUUGCCUUUCUACAGGGAAGCUGUUCUUCUGUUGUUUGUACAUCUGGGGACAGAUAUCUUGUUCUUGGAGGGAGGGAAUAUUGCGAGUUGAGGGGAAUCUAAUGGAAGAUCUCACUGUUCAAGUAGCCAGGUAAGGGCCAUAAUGGGUCAUUCACAUAAGAAAGGAAGCUGCUCUGUGCCAGAGUGCAACUGGGUGGUGAAGGGAAGUUUUCUUUCUGCAGUUCUCUUACUGCACAUAACUGUGGCAUUGUGGGAAGUCUUGCUAUGAAGUCUUGCUAUGAGAACUAUUGCUUCUUUUCUCUUGCAUUCUGGGAAGUCUCGCUUCUGCUUCUGCACAAGAGUCUGAGAAUGUUCUGAACAGUUCCCAUUGAGUUCAUGAAACAGUGUAUCCUGACCUGUUCUUAAUGCAUUGCUGACCACAUCUACGGAACGUGAUUGUUGUAUUCUUUCAUGUUAUGUUCCUUCAAUAUCAAUCUUUAGUUAUAAUUUAAUUAGGAGGUUUCAUGCCUGUCUAGUUCCAGCUCCAUUUCUCAGCUUUUGAUCUAUCAGUGAUAAAUGGUUAUAUGUAAUUCCCGCCUUGUACCUAUGUUAACCAAUCAGCAACAAGAUGCUUUGUGUUUGUAUCAACCAAUCAGCCACAAGCACACCUGUGGCAAUGUUUGUAAUAUUCAAUAAAAGAGAGUUCCCGGGGCUCGCCCCGGCAGACGCCUCUCAUAUGACACCU